UACCAGACUCCUACGGGAGGCAGCAGUGGGGAAUAUUGCACAAUGGGGGGAACCCUGAUGCAGCGACGCCGCGUGGGUGAAGGAGCACCUCGGUGCGUAAAGCCCUAUCGGCAGGGAAGAAAAGCGAACAGGUUCGCCUGGACGGUACCUGACUAAGAAGCCCCGGCUAACUACGUGCCAGCAGCCGCGGUAAUACGUAGGGGGCAAGCGGUAUCCGGAUUUACUGGGUGUAAAGGGAGCGUAGACGGUUAUGUAAGUCUGGAGUGAAAGCCCGGGGCCCAACCCCGGGACUGCUUUGGAAACUGUGUAACUGGAGUACAGGAGGGGCAGGCGGAAUUCCUGGUGUAGCGGUGAAAUGCGUAGAUAUCAGGAGGAACACCGGCGGCGAAGGCGGCCUGCUGGACUGAAACUGACGUUGAGGCUCGAAAGCGUGGGGAGCAAACAGGAUUAGAUACCCCUGUA
rnacentral:rRNA from 1 species